rnacentral:rRNA from 1 species
AUCAGCGGGGAUAGCACGUUGAAUGCACCAGUUCCCCACAGAUCACUGAGGUUAAGCAACGUUGCGCGUGGUUAGUAUCCGGAUGGUGACCAUCUGAGGAAUCCGCGUGCUGCUGGUU